UUGUUCAGUGCAGUAGAAUUUAUGACAGAAGUAGAAGAAGUAGAAGAAGUAGAAGAUAUUGAGAAUCACCACAGGCAUCUUGUUGUAGUUUAUUAUUCUUGGAAUGGAAAUUGCGCUCUGUUGCUCUCCAAGGCUGUGUAUAGUAGACAUGCUAAAAUCACCUUCGGGCUAAAUUAAAGGAAAAAUUGGUUUAGAUUUUUGCAUGUUGACGGGGACUUCAUAGCCUACAACGUUAGCUUGCCUAUUUUUAUAGUUUUGUCAGAUACUCAGACUCAAUAAUUGAUUGAAAUAAAAAUACACAGUCGAUGGUCUAUAUUGUUGAUUAUUGAUAGGCUAUUUCAGAGAUAUUUUGAGAACAACAAUUGCUGUGAGAAAAAACAAACUGAUGUGCCUUGAUUGUGUAAUCCCCAACCAAAAAUAAGUUAUGUGAGAGUAGCCUAUAAAUAGCACGUGGAAUAUCAAAUAUUAAUUUAUUUAGAUGAGUAAAUGUUGAAGAGGUAAAAUAAAGCUAUUUUAAAUGAAUGAAUUAACCUUUGUCAAGUAAGAGCGCCAUGGAGAAGCUGUUGCGCACGCUGUUGUUGCGCACGCGAACCCAGGCAAAGAAGGGAGGGCAGAGCGAGCCAUGGUGAGCCAAUAAAAAGGCACCAGAGUCCUGCGAACGGUCGGCUUUGCUCGAGACAGUGUAAAACGGGACCAAUAUUUCUGUCGGACGCGUACUGUCUUCGAGUGUGCAAAGGACACACCAUCUCAUUGACUGCGCCUGUCCCUACAUAGGAAGACGAGACAUCCAGAAGGCGGUUGACUCUCCCCAUCCACUCCACCCUGAAUUCCAGCUCCUUCCCGCUGGCCGCAGGUAAAGACUACCUAAGCAGUGAGAGCUUAGGUAAGCUCCUCCACGACCUGUUCUGCCACAACACAACUCUACCCUUCUCCUCCAAUCACCCCUGGACUACACCAGCCACGGAGUAACAGCAACAAGAGAUUGCCGUGGGAGAGUCAGAGUUCUGCUCCUGGAAUACAAACAAGUCCUGUCUCUAUAACACCCCUCCUGCAUUUCUAAUCCACCGACUCUGAUGAGGAAGGGGGAAAAAAGUUUGCUUUCACCUCUGGCGAACAGUUUUGCCUGCAGUGCUGAAAAGGCGUUGUGUUUCCAGCUCAUUUGUUGGUUUAAUGAUGUCUCAACUGAACUAACACGUAGACCUACUGCGCUGUUCAGGAAUACAUAGCUACCUUGUAAUUGAACAACAAGGCCCAGAGUUCCGGAGUGUUCCGAGUGUGUCCGAGAUGGAUACACACGAAGCCUAAGAGGAAGAUACACAUGUGAAGGCUGUGCAGAAGCUGACGAGGGGGUGGGGGGGGGGGUUUCCUCUGGUAGAGCCUCCUCAUUCUGUAAACACACCAGGGGAUCUCAUCUGAGACAUCUGUGUGUCCACUCUCUCCGAGUCGACAAACUACUCCCUGCAUUCUCAUCAUAGCUGUUUUAGAUGGACUCAGACUCCAGUAGCCUCGCACCAGCGUGUCUCUAAGGAUCUCUCUACAUCUACCCAUACCUGUCUUUCCCUGUCCCCCCCCCUCUAUAUCACUUCUCUUCCCUAUACCUUUUAUUUACCUCCACCACACCCAUUCCUGUCACGUACUCUCUCCGUUUAAAUAAUUAACAAUGCUUGUGUGCCAAUGACACUUUCUGUCAGUGCGAUCCGAUUCCUGAAAGUCCCAGUGGAAGCAGUGACCUUUGGAGUGGGUCGUGCUGCUGGUGUGUGGGUCGUGCUGUUCCAGAUCUCUACCUCCCCCCUGGACCUGCUGGCCUGGCCCUGACUGUAAAUGUCACAGCGCUGGCUGUCCACGGCUGAAUCUUCCACAGGGUCAGAGGCUGUUUUCUCUUCUUCUACACAGGCCAGGUAUCUCUGUGGGAGCCGCGCUGUGUCCAAGUGGGACAGACGGUACUCUUCAGUCCCAGUCGACCGUUGACAGCUGCCUUCUGGGAUUUAGCGUUUUGGUCUGAUUAGAAAGAUUCUGUCCGACCCCGAGAGCUUGUUCCCAUUAUACUCAAGAGUUUUCAUUUAAAGACUUUGUUUGGUUUUUCUUCGUUUUGUCAUUACCCUCUUCACCCGAUUCAUAUAGUAGCUGGAGCCCAUGAUAAUUGCCUUUGGCUGAGAACGCGAUCACAGGUUCAUUUUACUCCCCAGUUUUAUGAUCUUACUCAAUCUCCCACUUGACAAUGACGUUUCACAGGGAUUAUGCAUAAAGCCAGGCACACCUUUUAAGUGUGUUCGCCACAGGAAGCCUCUACAAAACAUAUCCCUCCCUGGAGAGUAGCACACACUAAUCAACUGCAGUGAUUUUUUAAAACCAAAAUAAAAGCCAUUGGAUGGAGUGAAUACAGGGAAAGAAAGGGCAGAUGGUCCCCUGCACUAAAAGAUCAGUAAUAAAUGAAUAAAUCAUUUGGUGGAGUGGAGUGGAGGCAUCUGGCAGAUUGCUGAGGUAGUCCCUCCCCCUCUCUCUCUCUCUCUCUCUCUCUCUCUCUCUCUCCCUCUCUCUCUCUCCCUCUCUCUGUCACUCUCUCGCUCUCUAUCUCUCUG